GCGCGGGUGGCGGAAUGGUAUACGCGCACGUUCGAGGGGCGUGUGGAGUAAUCCGUGUGGGUUCAAGUCCCACCCCGCGCACCA
rnacentral:tRNA from 1 species